ACGAACGCUGGCGGCGUGGAUAAGACAUGCAAGUCGAACGGGAGAAUUGCUAGCUUGCUAAUAAUUCUCUAGUGGCGCACGGGUGAGUAACACGUGAGUAACCUGCCUCUUAGUGGGGGAUAGCCCUGGGAAACCGGGAUUAAUACCGCAUACGAUUGAAAGAUCAAAGCAGCAAUGCGCUAGGAGAUGGGCUCGCGGCCUAUUAGUUAGUUGGUGAGGUAACGGCUCACCAAGGCGAUGACGGGUAGCCGGUCUGAGAGGAUGUCCGGCCACACUGGAACUGAGACACGGUCCAGACACCUACGGGUGGCAGCAGUCGAGAAUCAUUCACAAUGGGGGCAACCCUGAUGGUGCGACGCCGCGUGGGGGAAUGAAGGUCUUCGGAUUGUAAACCCCUGUCAUGUGGGAGCAAAUUAAAAAGAUAGUACCACAAGAGGAAGAGACGGCUAACUCUGUGCCAGCAGCCGCGGUAAUACAGAGGUCUCAAGCGUUGUUCGGAAUCACUGGGCGUAAAGCGUGCGUAGGCUGUUUCGUAAGUCGUGUGUGAAAGGCAGGGGCUCAACCCCUGGAUUGCACAUGAUACUGCGAGACUAGAGUAAUGGAGGGGGAACCGGAAUUCUCGGUGUAGCAGUGAAAUGCGUAGAUAUCGAGAGGAACACUCGUGGCGAAGGCGGGUUCCUGGACAUUAACUGACGCUGAGGCACGAAGGCCAGGGGAGCGAAAGGGAUUAGAUACCCCUGUAGUCCUGGCAGUAAACGGUGCACGCUUGGUGUGCGGGGAAUCGACCCCCUGCGUGCCGGAGCUAACGCGUUAAGCGUGCCGCCCGGGGAGUACGGUCGCAAGAUUAAAACUCAAAGAAAUUGACGGGGACCCGCACAAGCGGUGGAGUAUGUGGCUUAAUUCGAUGCAACGCGAAGAACCUUACCUGGGCUUGACAUGUAAUGAACAACAUGUGAAAGCAUGCGACUCUUCGGAGGCGUUACACAGGUGCUGCAUGGCCGUCGUCAGCUCGUGUCGUGAGAUGUUUGGUUAAGUCCAGCAACGAGCGCAACCCCUGUUGCCAGUUACCAGCACGUCAAGGUGGGGACUCUGGCGAGACUGCCCAGAUCAACUGGGAGGAAGGUGGGGACGACGUCAGGUCAGUAUGGCCCUUAUGCCCAGGGCUGCACACGUACUACAAUGCCCAGUACAGAGGGGGCCGAAGCCGCGAGGCGGAGGAAAUCCUGAAAACUGGGCCCAGUUCGGACUGUAGGCUGCAACCCGCCUACACGAAGCCGGAAUCGCUAGUAAUGGCGCAUCAGCUACGGCGCCGUGAAUACGUUCCCGGGUCUUGUACACACCGCCCGUCACAUCAUGGAAGCCGGUCGCACCCGAAGUAUCUGAAGCCAACCGCAAGGAGGCAGGGUCCUAAGGUGAGACUGGUAACUGGGAUG
rnacentral:rRNA from 1 species